rnacentral:rRNA from 1 species
UACAGAGGGUGCGAGCGUUAAUCGGAAUUACUGGGCGUAAAGGGCCAGUAGGCGGCCAACUAAGUCCGACGUGAAAUCCCCAGGCUUAACCUGGGAACUGCGUCGGAUACUGGAUGGCUUGAAUUCGGGAGAGGGAUGGCAGUACUCCGAGGUGUAGCGGUGAAAUGCGUAGAUAUACUGGAGGAAUACCGGUGGCGAAGGCGGCAUCCUGGACCGACAUUGACGCUGAACGGCGAAAGCUAGGGGAGCAAACAGG